UGGAGGAGGCCAAGGGUUGGAUGUACCCUGGCCAGCAGCCCAGGAAGCCUGAGCAUAUAAUUAAAAGAUUGUAUCUUCUUGGGUCUGUCUUUUGGGACAAGAGCUCUCAGUGUUGUCCUCACCCUGUGACCUCCGUCUGGGCACUACGUCCACUGCUGCCUGGCUCGGUUCUGUCCCUUCGGGCAGGGUUGGCAGCUCAGUUUCACCUGGUUCUGAGCACGGAAAGGACAGACUCCCUUUCUGCCCUUCAGGCCUCCUAAUAGCCACCCCACAGGGGAAUGGGUACUCCUCCCUCUCACGUGCCUCCUGGCUGUGUGUCCAUCCUGGAGGGGGCUGUCCCCAGUUCACAGAGAGGCCACCCAGCUAGUAAGUGAAGAGCUCAGCCUCAGAUGUAACUGUGCUGAGUGCUGCACUCUAUGUUCGUCCCUUCCCCUUCCUGACUCCCCGGCUGGGAGGACCAUGGGCGGUGGGGAUGGGGUGGGUGUACAAGGGAAAAGCCCCUCCUCCAAUACUGGACCAUGGCUUUGAGGAACCCAACUGGUCAUGGAAUACUUUGGCCUUUGCAAGUAAGACCAUGAGACGUCAAGCCAUCACGGUCUCGGCAGCUCCACACCAUCCGAAGGGCACCGGCCUCACCAGCCAGAAGGAAGGAAGGCAGGGAUGGCACAGAGGAAACCCAGCCCUGAAGCAGAGUCUGUCCUGGAGUCCCGCCUGUGUGCCUGUGCGCGAUAGAAGGGGUGCCUCGGUCGGACGGCAGAGGGCCAGGGUCAGGCGGAGCCACUCGAGGCCACGACUGCGGUGUGGGAAGGAAGACGGGCUCUCACAGGCCAGGUGGCCACACAGGCUGGCUGCCCAGUGCGGGCCUGGCUCUGGCCUGCUGCCGCGGACUAGUUAUUUAAUACAGUAGGCCCUCCUUAUCGAGGGGGAUUCGUUCCAAGACCCCUAGUGGGUGCCUGAAACCAUGGAUAAGACCAAACCCUAACAUACUACGUUUUUUCCUACACAUACAUACCUAUGAUAAAGUUUAAUUUAUAAAUUAGGCAUAGUAAAAGAUUAACAACAAUAACUAUAAUAAAAUAGAACAAUUAUAAUAAUAUACUAUAAUAAAAGUUACCAGAGAUCUUCGCAACCUC
rnacentral:lncRNA from 1 species